CCAGCUCGUUCCCGUGAGAUGUCCUUUUAAAGUCAGNUAACGACGCGAGAUCCCUGCCAUUAGUUGCUAUCAUUAUUCUCAGGAAUAGUGGGGCGAAUUAGUGGGNCUGCCCGUUGUUAAAACGGAGGAAGGAAGGGGCUACGGCAGGUCAGUAUGCCCCGAAACUCUGGGGCCACACGCGGGCUGCAAUGGUAGUGACAAUGAGUUCCAAACUCGAAAGAGAGUGGCAAUCNCUAAACGCUACCACAGUUAUGNNUGAGGGCUGUAANUCGCCCUCANGAAUAUGGAAUCCCUAGUAACCGCGNGUCANAAACGCGCGGUGAAUAAGUCCCUGCUCCUUGCACNCUCCCCCCGUCG
rnacentral:rRNA from 1 species